rnacentral:lncRNA from 1 species
UUUUUUUUUUUUUGAGAAACCAAAUAUAGAAUACUAAUUGUAUAGUUUUUUGAUAACAAUUAAGUUGUUCCAUUUGGAUUAUAAAAAUAUAUAAUAGUACCUAUUUGGGCUCAUGUCAUAUGUUUUAUUAACAUGUACUUCCUGGUUUAUAUCAAAUUACAGAAUUUUAGAGUUUCAGAAUAAUUUGAAUUUAGAAAGCUAUUACUGUAAUUAUGUGGGGGCAUUAAUGGAGGCUUGUAAUUGUAAUGCUGAAAAUAUAAAUUAAUUGGCUUGUAAAUGAGACAGGUAUAGCAAGUAAAUGAGGUCCUGAGGGUAUAUUUUUAUUCAGCUACUGAGUUGCAGGAUAAAGUCAAAAUAUUUACCGAGGUUAAUGGAAUAAUUAUAUAGGAUUUAUCUAUACUAUUAAAAUUACAUUUAAAAUAUAGAGCUAUAUUGCUUACCUUAAAUUAUAAAAUGAGCUUUCUCCAAAUUCAAAAUGCUUGUAAUUCACAGUCAUUUUUGGAUUACUGUAAAAAGGUAACUAACUGCCUUUUUACAAUUAGGAAUUUAUUUACAACUUUCUCUUCCAAUCCAUUUUCUAGUCUUUUAUACAAAAGACUCAUCUGCUUUCAAGGUUAGUUCAUUUAAGUCAUAAGGUAGAGAGAAGCAAGUACAGAAUACAACACAGAACCACAGCCAUAAGGUAGAUUUCUCAAGUACUGUCCCUAAUGUUACCGGGGGUCCUUGCUUCCAGAGCUCCCAAGAUGGUGGUGGGCCACUUCCAAGAUGGUGGCAAGAGUCGUAUUCUCUGACCUGGGGUUCUUGGUCUCAUGGAUUCCAAGGAAUGGAAUCUUGCGCCAUGUGGAGAAGCGUCAGAUAAUUAGGCAGCAGUCCAACAAUUAGGUUUUGUGGAACUUUUACUAUGUCAUCUAUUUAUUGGAAUUCCCCCUGGAUACCAGGACCCCCUCCAGCAGAGCUUAAAGUUA